AUUGAACGCUGGCGGCAUGCCUUACACAUGCAAGUCGAACGGUAACAGGUCUUCGGAUGCUGACGAGUGGCGAACGGGUGAGUAAUACAUCGGAACGUGCCCGAUCGUGGGGGAUAACGCAGCGAAAGCUGUGCUAAUACCGCAUACGAUCUACGGAUGAAAGCGGGGGGACUCGCAAGGGCCUCGCGCGGACGGAGCGGCCGAUGGCAGAUUAGGUAGUUGGUGGGAUAAAAAGCUUACCAAGCCGACGAUCUGUAGCUGGUCUGAGAGGACGACCAGCCACACUGGGACUGAGACACGGCCCAGACUCCUACGGGAGGCAGCAGUGGGGAAUUUUGGACAAUGGGCGCAAGCCUGAUCCAGCCAUGCCGCGUGCAGGAUGAAGGCC
rnacentral:rRNA from 1 species